UAGGAAUGGAGGGAGUAUCACUAUAUCCUAGCCCCCCACAACCUCACCACUCCAACUUUGAUCAUCUUCGUCUUUCCAAUUUUAUGAUAAGUGACGAGUUUUAUGUUCAGAAUCAGAAUCAUGUAGUAAAAAUCAAGUUCAUAGCGCGCUAAUGGACUAGCCCAACUGGCCAUGAGAUAGGACAAGAGGGCUUUCGAAAGUUUCAGCGAAGACGCAAGCUGGAGAUGGUCUGUGUUUGAUUUCAUUGCGUUAUUUCGUCGAACACUUUAACUUCAAUCAGUCCGAACGAAAGGUGUACGCGUGGUUUUGCAAUCGGUGACGCUUCACACCAAUCUCGGAGACAUCAAGUGCGAGAUCGCUUGUGAUGAAGAAGUCCCUAGAGCAGCCGAGCACAAUGCAAGGGGUAUAAUGUCAAUGGCCAAUGGUGGUCCCAAUACCAAUGGAAGCCAGUUCUUCAUUACUUACGCAAAGCAGCCACAUAUCUCUAUGGAUUGUACACUGUUUUUGGAAAAGUGAUAGAUGGGUUUGAAGUGCUUGAUCUUAUGGAGAAGACUCAAACAGGUGCAGGUGAUCCACCUCUUGCGGAAAUCAGUACAUGCUAGUCCACUUGAGGGCUAGGUGUAUUCAAAAGGAUUUUGACGGUUGUGAGCUUGUUUCUUGUGGAAGUCAGAACUCAGAAGGUCUGUGAAUGAAGAAAUCAUUAUGUUACCCGUAACUAUUAGCAGUGGCGGUUAAGAGUGUUGAACUAGGGUUUAGUUGAGAGUGUAGAUUCUGUUGAACUAGAGGUAAAAUCGGAGGAAGUGAAAAAACAGUGAUUUACUGUUGUCAACUGCAGAAUUAUGUUAGUACUCUAGUCACUAGUGGUUCUACAAUAGAUUCAUUCUGGAUAUGUCUUUUGUUCUGGGUGAAGCUCUCA